rnacentral:rRNA from 1 species
GAUGAACGCUGGCGGUGUGCCUAACACAUGCAAGUCGAACGAACAGACGAUGAGCUUUCGCCCUUACCGGUAGCGAGUGGCGGGCGAGUAACGCGUACAUCACCUACCUCUUUGUCUGGGAUGACUUCGGAAAACCGCUUCUACUACUACAUCAUAUAUUGUACCGCAGGGAUCAAUAGUUAAUGACGGCUUUCGCGUCACAUAUAGAUGAAUCCGCGCCGCAUUAGCUAGUUGGUAAGGUAACGGCUUACCAAGGCAACGAUGCGUAGCCGACCUGAGAGGAUGAUCGGCCACACUGGAACUGAGACACGGUCCAGACUCCUACGGGAGGCAGCAGUAGGGAAUCUUCGGCAAUGGGCGAAAGCCUGACGGAGCAAUGCCGCGUGAGUGAUGAAGGCCUUCGGGUCGUAAAGCUCUGUUAUUGGGAAAGAACAAAUGUGUAAUUAACUAUGCACGUCUUGACGGUACCUAAUCAGAAAGCAACGGCUAACUUCGUG